rnacentral:rRNA from 1 species
AAGCCUACGGGAGGCAGCAGUGAGGAAUAUUGGUCAAUGGGCGAGAGCCUGAACCAGCCAAGUCGCGUGAGGGAAGACGGCCCUACGGGUUGUAAACUUCUUUUAAGAGGGAAGAGUAGAAGACGGUACCUCUUGAAUAAGCCACGGCUAACUACGUGCCAGCAGCCGCGGUAAUACGUAGGUGGCAAGCGUUGUCCGGAUUUACUGGGUGUAAAGGGCGUGUAGCCGGGCCGGCAAGUCAGAUGUGAAAUCCCAAGGCUCAACCUUGGAACUGCAUUUGAAACUGUUGGUCUUGAGUAUCGGAG